rnacentral:lncRNA from 1 species
AAGCAUACACGAAAGAGGUAAAAUAUAAUGCCACACAAUCAACAAGAUAUGCCUGUGUAAGUGUGUUUCCAUGACAUUCUGCAAUACUUAUUCGCAAUUGGAAUGUCAAUGCAAGCAAGCUCUGCUUUAAUAUAGUUGGUUGGUCUCUUAUGCAAACUAUUUCUCGUACUAAAAAGCAAAGAGCUUGUAGUCAAACUCAACAUUUACUGAAAAAAUAUGUAAUGACACAGUUCACCUAUCUCAAGUACACUCUUUGUUGUUGUAGCUAUGAAAUCACAUAUAACUACUAACAAAAGAGGAAGAGGGAUAAAAGGGAAUUACACGCCAAUAAGUAGUACCAUCACUUCUGAUAGGAGAACUUCAAGAAACUGCCAUAAGCAAAAGGACAAUUAGAAGACAGCAUGACAAACAGGAGAAAAGAAAAACAAGAGAGAAAAAGGGUCAAUCUGAAUAUUUGAUUCUAUUAGUUGGUGGCACGAUGAAUUUCUAGUGGUUGUACGAGUAAAGCCAAUAAACAAGUACCCAUUGAUGUUCAAGAAGUUUCAAGAUCGAAGCUUUACAUAAAAUAUAAGAUGGGUAUUGAUACAUCCACAAAAUUCAGCCACUGAAGCAAUUGAACAAGCAUUUUAUGUGCAUUAAAAAGUGGUAAAUCGGUGCUAGCAAGGGUACCAUAGAAUGCUAGCAAAACACAAUAAUAGUGUUAAAAUGAUCAAUCCAUAGCAAUCAUGUUAACGCUUCUAUUUUCCAGGAAAGAGAUGCAAAUUUCGGGUGAAAUCACAAGCUUAAAACUUAAGAAAAAAAAAAAAGGUAGGAGGGUAAAGCCUUUCAUGAAAACAAUCAUCUGGGCAGGUCUGGCAUCCAGUAAUGGUUGGCAAGCCAAAUGGUAUACCGAAGGAUACGAAUCAAAGUAGCAUUUCGUUUGCCAUUUCUAGCUUUCUAUCUUAUCAUAGCUAAACCAACAUUCCCGCCAUUAUCAUUUGAUGUUGUGAUAUUUAUUGGAUAAAUCAGGUAUAAAACAUAAGAAGUUAGUUUAACGACAGAUAUCCACCUUUUAGAAAACCAUCACCGUUCACUUCAAUCUAAAAGAGACCAAGCUUAAAAAGAGGCAAACUAGAAUACGAUUCACAAGUUUUUAGACCAUUUUGAGAAUUCCAACUUGGCAAUGUAGCCAUGUUCAUCUUGGAUACUGGUGAAACUUUGUUCAAUGGUAGAAGAAACUGAAUUUGAAUUUCAGGAAUAAGUUUCCUAGAACAUUGCGGUUACGUCUGCGGUGGAAAGUUCACUUUUGUGCCAU